rnacentral:rRNA from 1 species
GAUCCUGGCUCAGGAUGAACGCUAGCGGCAGGCUUAACACAUGCAAGUCGAGGGGUCAGCAUAAUGGAUAGCAAUAUCUAUGGUGGCGACCGGCGCUACGGUGCGUAACGCGUAUGCAACCUACCUUUAACAGGGGUAUAACACUGAGAAAUUGGUACUAAUACCCCAUAAUAUCAUAGAAGGCAUCUUUAUGUUGAAAUCCGNUGUUAGAGAUGGGCAUGUCGUUUGUAUUAAG